rnacentral:ncRNA from 1 species
CCGAUAGAGGUUGCGGUGAUUAUGAGUAGCAGUCCAUUGAAGCGCGGGUACGCGGGCUGUGAAAGGAUGAUCCGCCGAAGGUCGCCGGAAAACCCGGUAUGGCGACCUGGGGCGAUGCAAUAAGAUGCGUCGUACUGUCACAAUUGUGGAGCGCUAUCAU